GGGCCCGCACAAGCGGUGGAGUAUGUGGUUUAAUUCGAUGCAACGCGAAGAACCUUACCAGGGUUUGACAUCCUGCGAAUCUCUUGGAAACAGGAGAGUGCCUUCGGGAACGCAGUGACAGGUGGUGCAUGGCUGUCGUCAGCUCGUGUCGUGAGAUGUUCGGUUAAGUCCGGCAACGAGCGCAACCCACAUCCCUAGUUGCCAGCAGUUCGGCUGGGCACUCUAUGGAAACUGCCCGUGAUAAGCGGGAGGAAGGUGUGGAUGACGUCAAGUCCUCAUGGCCCUUACGGGUUGGGCUACACACGUGCUACAAUGGCAUCUACAGUGGGUUAAUCCCCAAAAGAUGUCUCAGUUCGGAUUGUCGUCUGCAACUCGACGGCAUGAAGUCGGAAUCGCUAGUAAUCG
rnacentral:rRNA from 1 species